CCCUUAGAUGUUCUGGGCUGCACGCGCGCUACACUGAUGCAUUCAACAAGCCUAGCCUUGACCGAGAGGUCCGGGUAAUCUUUGAAACUGCAUCGUGAUGGGGCUAGAUUAUUGCAAUUAUUAAUCUUCAACGAGGAAUGCCUAGUAAGCGUGAUUCAUCAAAUCGCGUUGAUUACGUCCCUGCCCUUUGUACACACCGCCCGUCGCUCCUACCGAUUGGAUGUGUUGGUGAGGAGCUCGGAUUGGCAGCAGUUGGUGGUUCGCCACCGGCUAUUGCUGAGAAGUCCUCCAAACCGCCCCAUUUAGAGGAAGGAGAAGUCGUAACA
rnacentral:rRNA from 1 species